GCGAGUGAAGAGGGAAAAGCUCAAAUUUAAAAUCUGGCAGUAUUUUGCUGUCCGAGUUGUARCCUAGAGAAGUGUAACCUGUGCUGGACCGUGUAUAAGUUUCCUGGAAUGGAGCAUCACAGAGGGUGAGAAUCCCGUCUUUGACAUGGACUACCAGUGCAUUGUGGUUGUGCUCUCAACGAGUCGAGUUGUUUGGGAAUGCAGCUCUAAAUGGGUGGUAAAUUCCAUCUAAAGCUAAAUAUUGGCGAGAGACCGAUAGCGAACAAGUACCGUGAGGGAAAGAUGAAAAGAACUUUGGAAAGAGAGUUAAACAGUAUGUGAAAUUGUUGAAAGGGAAACGUUUGAAGUCAGUCGCGUUAGCUGGGGAUCAGCCUGACAUUGUUGGGUGCACUUCCUGGUUGACGGGCCAACAUCAGUUUUGACUGCCAGAAAAAGGCCAAGGGAAUGUGGCACCUUUGGGUGUGUUAUAGCCUUUGGUCAUAUAUGGUGGUUGGGACUGAGGAAUGCAGUGUGCCGAAAGGCCGGGUUUCGACCACGUUCACACUGAGGAUGUUGGCAUAAUGGCUUUAAGCGMCCCGUCUUGAAACACGGACCAAGGAGUYUAACAUGCAUGCGAGUGUUUGGGUGGAAAACCCUUACGCGUAAUGAAAGUGAAAGUUGAGAUCCCUGUCGUGGGGAGCAUCGACGCCCGGACCAGAACUUUUGGGACGGAUCUGCGGUAGAGCACGUAUGUUGGGACCCGAAAGAUGGUGAACUAUGCCUGAAUAGGGUGAAGCCAGAGGAAACUCUGGUGGAGGUCUCGUAGCGAUUCUGACGUGCAAAUCGAUCGUCGAGAAUCUUGGGUAUAGGGGCG
rnacentral:rRNA from 1 species